rnacentral:rRNA from 1 species
UACGAAGGGGGCUAGCGUUAAUCGGAAUUACUGGGCGUAAAGCGUGCGCAGGCGGUUUUGUAAGCCAGAUGUGAAAUCCCCGGGCUCAACCUGGGAAUGGCAUUUGGGACUGCAAGGCUGGAGUACGGCAGAGGAGACUGGAAUUCCUGGUGUAGCAGUGAAAUGCGUAGAGAUCAGGAGGAAUACCGAUGGCGAAGGCAGGUCUCUGGGCUGAUACUGACGCUCAUGCACGAAAGCGUGGGGAGCAAACAGG